UAAUAAUUUUCUUGUCACCUGAUACAUUACUGCUCUAACUUUUAGAGUGCGCUUCUUUUUUGGAUAUAUGAUCCACUGAAGGUAUAUAUAUAUAUAUAUAUAUAUAUAUAUA